rnacentral:rRNA from 1 species
AGAACGAACGCUGGCGGCGUACCUAACACAUGCAAGUCGAACGAGAAAUUCCGAUUCGUCGGGAGAGUAAAGUGGCGAAUGGGUGAGUAAAGCGAGGGUAAUCUGCCCUUAAAUUAGGGAUAACUUUGCGAAAGCGAAGCUAAUACCUGAUAAGACUACAGUCUCUUAGGAGACAGUAGGAAAAGAUGGCCUCUGUUUCAAGCUAUUGUUUAAGGAUGAGCCCUUGUACUAUUAGCUAGUUGGUGAGGUAAUGGCUCACCAAGGCGAAGAUGGUUAGCUGGUCUGAGAGGAUGAUCAGCCACACUGGAACUGAGACACGGUCCAGACUCCUUCGGGAGGCAGCAGUGAGGAAUAUUGCGCAAUGGGGGAAACCCUGACGCAGUGACGCCGCGUGAGUGAUGAAGGCUUUCGAGUCGUAAAGCUCUGUGAGGUGGAAAGAAAUGUUCCAGUACUAAUAUUACUGGGAUUUGACGGUACCACCAGAGGAAGCACCGGCUAACUCCGUGCCAGCAGCCGCGGUAAUACGGAGGGUGCAAGCGUUGUUCGGAAUUACUGGGCGUAAAGGGCGUGUAGGCGGUUUGGCAAGUCAGAUGUGAAAUCCCUUAGCUCAACUAAGGAAGUGCAUUUGAAACUGCUUAACUAGAGUACAGGAGGGGAAAGUGGAAUUCCCAGUGUAGAGGUGAAAUUCAUAGAUAUUGGGAGGAACACCGGUGGCGAAGGCGGCUUUCUGGCCUGAUACUGACGCUGAGACGCGAAAGCGUGGGGAGCAAACAGGAUUAGAUACCCUGGUAGUCCACGCCGUAAACGAUGGGCACUAGGUGUAGGAAGUGUUGACCCUUUCUGUGCCGAAGCUAACGCAUUAAGUGCCCCGCCUGGGGAGUACGGUCGCAAGGCUAAAACUCAAAGGAAUUGAC